GACGAACGCUGGCGGCGUGCCUAAUACAUGCAAGUCGAGCGGACGAAUCGAAAGCUUGCUUUUGAUUCGUUAGCGGCGGACGGGUGAGUAACACGUGGGCAACCUGCCCUGUAGACGGGGAUAACACCGAGAAAUCGGUGCUAAUACCGGAUAACACGAAAUGUCGCAUGACGUUUCGUUGAAAGACGGCGCAAGCUGUCGCUACAGGAUGGGCCCGCGGCGCAUUAGCUAGUUGGUGAGGUAACGGCUCACCAAGGCGACGAUGCGUAGCCGACCUGAGGGGGGGAACGGCCAACGUGGGGCUGAGACACGGCCCAGACCCCUACGGGAGGCAGCAGGAAGGAAUCUUCCGGAGGGGACGAAAGUCUGAAGGGGCAACGGCGGGGGAGGGAAGAAGGCCUUCGGGGCGUAAAGCUCUGGUGGUAGGGAAAAACAAGUAACGCGGUAACUGGCGUUACCGGGACGGUACCUAACGAAAAAGCCACGGCUAACUACGU
rnacentral:rRNA from 1 species